AACGGGCGUUAGCUCGGCACUCUCUGCGAACAUACGUGUUAUCAUACAUUCAGAGGGGAAGGUCUGAGGAACCAGCGGGGGCUGAAAAGCCAACCGUAGCACAUACGGAAAACGCCCAACAGAAAACAGCUACGCGUGAAAGUGGCGUUAUGGUCAAGGCUGUGCCUAUAGUCAAAUUGCCGAGGCUUUUGUAACUCAAUUCAGACUACUCAAUGUCCGUU
rnacentral:RNase_P_RNA from 2 species